rnacentral:snoRNA from 1 species
CGACUAUGAUGAACAACCAUAUCAUUCAGUUCUGCUACUGAACACUGUGAUGAUAACCCCUAUACCAAAAAUUUGUCUGACAA